rnacentral:snRNA from 1 species
GUGCUUGCUUCGGCAGCACAGAUACUAAAACUGGAACGAUACAGAGAAGACUAGCAUGGCCCCUGCACAAGGAUGACACGCAAAUUUGUGAAGCGUUCCAUAUUUUU